rnacentral:rRNA from 1 species
AACAUGUGGCUAACCUACCCUUAGGACGGGGACAACCCCGGGAAACUGGGGCUAAUACCCGGUAGAUUAGGAGGCCUGGAAUGGUUUCUAGUCGAAAAGGCGUUGAAACCAUGCUUUUCGACGUCGCCUAAGGAUGGGGCCGCACCUGAUCAGGUUGUUGGUGGGGUAACGGCUCACCAAGCCUAUAACCGGUACGGGCCGUGAGAGCGGGAGCCCGGAGAUGGGCACUGAGACAAGGGCCCAGGCCCUACGGGGCGCAGCAGUCGCGAAAACUCCGCAAUGCGCGAAAGCGUGACGGGGCUACCCCGAGUGCCGUCCGCUGAGGAUGACUUUUCCCCGGUGUAAUGAGCCGAGGGAAUAAGGAGAGGGCAAGACUGGUGUCAGCCGCCGCGGUAAUACCAGCUCUCUGAGUGGUAGGGAUGAUUAUUGGGCUUAAAGCGUCCGUAGC